UACGUAGGGUGCGAGCGUUGUCCGGAAUUACUGGGCGUAAAGAGCUCGUAGGUGGUUUGUCGCGUUGUUCGUGAAAACUCACAGCUUAACUGUGGGCGUGCGGGCGAUACGGGCAGACUGGAGUACUGCAGGGGAGACUGGAAUUCCUGGUGUAGCGGUGGAAUGCGCAGAUAUCAGGAGGAACACCGGUGGCGAAGGCGGUUCUCUGGGCAUUUCCUGACGCUGAGGAGCGAAAGUGUGGGGAGCGAACAGG
rnacentral:rRNA from 1 species